UAUACUUAUCAAUGCCCUAUGGUCCAAAUAAUAAAUAAUUAUAAUUUAUCUCCAUAACAGUAUUUUUAUGAUUUUUUUAAACGGUAAAGUUGAAUUACUUGAAUUUAAAAUAAUUUUUUUUUUUCAUCUGUCUAGUGUCCAACAACGAUAACGUUGUUACUGCUGUCCGGUUUGAUCCUUUUUAAUUUGUUCGCCAGAUUUACCCUACAUUCUACAGUCUAUAAUGGCUGGGUGGAACGAAAGUCAGUUACGAAGAUAUAACAUAAAAAUGGAAAAAAUACCUAUCCUACAGUAUGAUGAUCCAAAAGUAGAUUCUCUUCUCAUCAAUAAUAAACCAGUAUUAAUCAAAGGAUCUAAAUUAGUUUCUCGUGUGUUAAAAUGGGAUCUGGAUUAUUUGACGGAGCACAUGAAUUCAACAUGCUGUAAUGUAUUGACAUCAAAAAAUCAUAAAUUCAAGUAUUAUGACCAAAAGAAAAUCACCCCUAAUAUGACAUUCAAACCAAUCAGCCGACCAAGUCCUAUGAUAUUUUCAGAAUUUAGUAAAAAAAUAAAAGAUUGGAAAAAAGGAGACUCCAGAUUAUACAUGCAACAAGUGUUGAACAACUCAAUUAGCCAACGUAUUGUUAGUGACUUUGUUAUGUUUAAUUGGGAUUGGAUUAUUUCAAAACAAAAUGUGUGUAAAUGGGGUUCUCUGACAUCUAAUCUUCUUCUAAUAGCACAAGAAGGUAAUGUUACUCCAUGUCAUUAUGAUGAACAACAAAAUAUGUUUGCCAGCAUUCGAGGAUAUAAAAGAUUCAUUUUAUUUCCUCCUAGUGAAUUUGAGUGUUUAUAUCCACACCCAGUUCAUCAUCCUUAUGAUAGACAAACUCAAGUAGACUUUGAUAAUCCAGAUUAUAUAAAAUUUCCAAAAUUCAAAGAAGCUUGUGGAUAUGAAGUUAUUGUUGGACCUGAAGAUGUCUUAUAUAUACCUAUGUAUUGGUUUCAUCAUGUUGAAUCACUGAUGCAUGGUGGCUAUACAGUUUCAAUAAACUUUUGGUUCAAAGUAAAAUAAUUUAAUUUUAAUUAUAUGUUAAGAGCGCAGGUAUAUGAAAUACAGUGGAACCUCUAUAAGUCGAAUUUUUGAUAACUCAAAUUUUUUUUCCACCCCCAACCGAUUCCAGUUAUCAAAGUUCCAAUGUAUAGGAACAAUUGUGAUUGGGCGGUGGUAAACUUUCCGAUUUUUAAAAAUAGUAAACUCUCCCAUGUCAACAUUGUGUUUAUGUGAGAGAAAUGUGUAAACUCUUUUUUGAGUUGUUUUAAAUGUUAUUGCUACACUAUGAAUUAAUGAACCAGAUUUUUUUUACUAAAAUGUACAUAAAAAUCCAAAAUUAUAAUAAACAAAAUAAAAUAAGUAAAAACAGUCAUACCAAAAGUUAAGAAAAUACCAUUUCAUAAAAAAUAAUAGACUAUAAAGACCAAAAAUUAAAAAAGAGUGAUAUGAAAGUAAUUGGUGUGCAUGUAUGAGAAGUAGGAGAUUGAACCAUAUGGAGUUGUGGCUAACUUUAUAUAGCCAGAAUUUUGAAGUUUAAAGUGAGGAUCUGUUGAAAAAAUUGAAUAUCCUUUGCUAGACCACCAAAAAAUAGUUAUCAUGAGAAAUGUGGAAAAAAUGCUAGCUGAAGCAUUACAUGAUCCGAGUGAAGUUGGAACUAUGCUGAAG
rnacentral:misc_RNA from 1 species